UACAGAGGUCUCAAGCGUUGUUCGGAUUCAUUGGGCGUAAAGGGUGCGUAGGCGGCGCGGUAAGUCGGGUGUGAAAUCUUGGAGCUUAACUCCGAAACUGCAUUCGAUACUGCCGUGCUUGAGGACUGGAGAGGAGACUGGAAUUCAUGGUGUAGCAGUGAAAUGCGUAGAGAUCAUGAGGAAGACCAGUGGCGAAGGCGGGUCUCUGGACAGUUCCUGACACUGAGGCACGAAGGCCAGGGGAGCAAACGGGG
rnacentral:rRNA from 1 species